GAUGAACGCUGGCGGCGUGCCCAAUACAUGCGAGUCGAGCGAACGGACGAGAAGCUUGCUUCUCUGAUGUUAGCGGCGGACGGGUGAGUAACACGUGGAUAACCUACCUAUAAGACUGGGAUAACUUCGGGAAACCGGAGCUAAUACCGGAUAAUAUUUUGAACCGCAUGGUUCAAAAGUGAAAGACGGUCUUGCUGUCACUUAUAGAUGGAUCCGCGCUGCAUUAGCUAGUUGGUAAGGUAACGGCUUACCAAGGCAACGAUGCAUAGCCGACCUGAGAGGGUGAUCGGCCACACUGGAACUGAGACACGGUCCAGACUCCUACGGGAGGCAGCAGUAGGGAAUCUUCCGCAAUGGGCGAAAGCCUGACGGAGCAACGCCGCGUGAGUGAUGAAGGUCUUCGGAUCGUAAAACUCUGUUAUUAGGGAAGAACAUAUGUGUAAGUAACUGUGCACAUCUUGACGGUACCUAAUCAGAAAGCCACGGCUAACUACGUGCCAGCAGCCGCGGUAAUACGUACGUGGCAAGCGUUAUCCGGAAUUAUUGGGCGUAAAGCGCGCGUAGGCGGUUUUUUAAGUCUGAUGUGAAAGCCCACGGCUCAACCGUGGAGGGUCAUUGGAAACUGGAAAACUUGAGUGCAGAAGAGGAAAGUGGAAUUCCAUGUGUAGCGGUGAAAUGCGCAGAGAUAUGGAGGAACACCAGUGGCGAAGGCGACUUUCUGGUCUGUAACUGACGCUGAUGUGCGAAAGCGUGGGGAUCAAACAGGAUUAGAUACCCUGGUAGUCCACGCCGUAAACGAUGAGUGCUAAGUGUUAGGGGGUUUCCGCCCCUUAGUGCUGCAGCUAACGCAUUAAGCACUCCGCCUGGGGAGUACGACCGCAAGGUUGAAACUCAAAGGAAUUGACGGGGACCCGCACAAGCGGUGGAGCAUGUGGUUUAAUUCGAAGCAACGCGAAGAACCUUACCAAAUCUUGACAUCCUUUGACAACUCUAGAGAUAGAGCUUUCCCCUUCGGGGGACAAAGUGACAGGUGGUGCAUGGUUGUCGUCAGCUCGUGUCGUGAGAUGUUGGGUUAAGUCCCGCAACGAGCGCAACCCUUAAGCUUAGUUGCCAUCAUUAAGUUGGGCACUCUAAGUUGACUGCCGGUGACAAACCGGAGGAAGGUGGGGAUGACGUCAAAUCAUCAUGCCCCUUAUGAUUUGGGCUACACACGUGCUACAAUGGACAAUACAAAGGGCAGCGAAACCGCGAGGUCAAGCAAAUCCCAUAAAGUUGUUCUCAGUUCGGAUUGUAGUCUGCAACUCGACUACAUGAAGCUGGAAUCGCUAGUAAUCGUAGAUCAGCAUGCUACGGUGAAUACGUUCCCGGGUCU
rnacentral:rRNA from 1 species